CAGAAAUUUUAAUAAAUCUGCUUGCGUGAAGGAGGCCUGGGGAAAUGGAGGAAGGAGCUUUUGCUAUGAUCUGAUUUACCUGGAGAGAGGAUGACAGGACUUUUGAUUGCACCUUUAUCUUCCAUGAUAUGUAUAAUUUAUUUGUAAGUGACUGCCUAGAAUAACUUUCCUAUGUCAGCAUCAGGCUAUCGGACUAUGUGAAAAGUGGAGCACUGUACUUUUCAGUCCAUUGGUGUGACAUCUCAAGGGAAAAUAAAGUACUGCAGUAGAAAUGA